rnacentral:tRNA from 1 species
GGCGGAAUAGUUUAGUGGUAUAACGACAGAAUCAUAAUCUGUAAAACGUAGGUUCGAAUCCUACUUCCGUCA